AGUGAACGCUGGCGGUAGGCCUAACACAUGCAAGUCGAACGGCAGCACAGUAAGAGCUUGCUCUUACGGGUGGCGAGUGGCGGACGGGUGAGGAAUACAUCGGAAUCUACUUUUUCGUGGGGGAUAACGUAGGGAAACUUACGCUAAUACCGCAUACGACCUACGGGUGAAAGCAGGGGAUCUUCGGACCUUGCGCGAUUGAAUGAGCCGAUGUCGGAUUAGCUAGUUGGCGGGGUAAAGGCCCACCAAGGCGACGAUCCGUAGCUGGUCUGAGAGGAUGAUCAGCCACACUGGAACUGAGACACGGUCCAGACUCCUACGGGAGGCAGCAGUGGGGAAUAUUGGACAAUGGGCGCAAGCCUGAUCCAGCCAUACCGCGUGGGUGAAGAAGGCCUUCGGGUUGUAACGCCCUUUUGUUGGGAAAGAAAAGCAGCAGGUUAAUACCCCGCUGUUCUGACGGUACCCAAAGAAUAAGCACCGGCUAACUUCGU
rnacentral:rRNA from 1 species